rnacentral:rRNA from 1 species
GACGAACGCUGGCGGCGUGCUUAACACAUGCAAGUCGAACGAAGUGGCGAACGGGUGAGUAACGCGUAAUCAACUUGCCCUUCAGAGGGGGACAACAGUUGGAAACGACUGCUAAUACCGCAUACUGAAGGAGGGGAUUGCGUCUGAUUAGCUAGUUGGGGGGGUAACGGCCCAACAAGGCGAUGGUCAGUAGCCGGGCUGAGAGGGUGGACCGCCAAAUUGGGACCGGGACACGGCCCAGGCUCCUACGGGAGGCAGCAGUGGGGGAACUUCCGCAAUGGAGGAAAGUCUGACGGAGCAACGCCGCGUGAGUUAUGACGGCCUUCGGGUUGUAAAGCUCUGUUAAUCGGGACGCGGUACCGGAAUAGAAAGCCACGGCUAACUACGUGCCAGCAGCCGCGGUAAUAC